CUGAACCUUUGGUAUCCAGUCCCCGAUAAGCACAAUAGGCAAUGAUAAGCGAAAGCAGGGGGAAAAAAGUAAAAAAUAAAACACACAAAAAUUUCCUUUGGGCAGAUACCAGCAGGUAAAUUGGUAGAGAAGAGGGAGCUUCAGUCUACUCACGCCAAAGAAGCAGAGCAGUGUAAUGCAUGUUUUCUGCCUGGAGAGGCUACUGGAGGAUAGGAAGUGUGUCUGUGGUGCCAGGGGAAGGAGGAGAAAGAAAGGAUGUGUCUGUUGGUGCUAUGCAGGUUUAUCCUACUAGCUCUACUCUUUAACUAGCUCUACUCUGGUCUUGUGGAGCCCUUUGUGGUACAAUACGUGAGGUAUGCUCCUGGAGCACACUUUCCACUUCAGUUUCAUCUGGAACGAAUCUGGCUCAUACUCAACAAAAGAGAUCCAUAAUGGGAAAGAAAGAACAGUUGUGCUGUGCAGCUGUGAUACCAGAUCUUUAAUCAUAGUGACAAGCACAGAGGCUCUAUGCGAAUGUAAG